UACGUAGGGUGCGAGCGUUGUCCGGAAUUAUUGGGCGUAAAGGGCUCGUAGGCGGUCUGUUGCGUCAGGAGUGAAAACUCGGGGCUUAACCCCGAGCCUGCUUCUGAUACGGGCAGACUAGAGGUAUGCAGGGGAGAACGGAAUUCCGGGUGGAGUGGUGAAAUGCGUAGAGAUCCGGAGGAACACCGAAGGCGAAGGCAGUGUCCUGGCGAGUAUCCUGACGCUGAGGUGCGAAAGCCAGGGGAGCGAACGGG
rnacentral:rRNA from 1 species